GCCCCAUGUGGGACCUGAUUAUCUUGUAUCUAGUACAGUGCUUGAUACAAUAGUCAGUGCUUAACAAAAUAGGACAAUUAUUACCGUUCUUCAAGUGCCAAAUUUAAUUUACGUGAACUUAGUCAAGAAUCUGUCAGAGUUCAAGUUGUCAUUUAUAUUUUCCUUAGGAUUAAAAAAUUAUGCAAAAUGUAUAAUUACAAAAUCCUUAGAAAAUUAAAGGAGAGUAAAAAUAAGGUUUGCAUGAAAAGAAGCGAAUGUAAUGAAAAAGAGUAAGAAUGUGACAAGUCCGAUUCAUUUCAUGGCUCCAAAAGUAAAUAACAUUUUAUUCAAACUGCCUCACUUUCUUCAACUGUAAAUAAGGCCUAAAGUCUGUUAACUAGUUAAUUUAAAGAUCUCGAGAGGUCCUUGGAAAUGGGAAGAGUAUCCUUAUUAUGCAAGGACUAAUUAUCCAGACCCUUACCCUCGCCUCUUUCUCCUUCCAGUUGUUUGACCUUUGGCAAUUUCACUACUCGUUAACGUUAGUUGAAAAAAGGAAAGAUGAAAAUCAAAUCAGACAACUUCACUGCUUGUUGAGCAAAUCAGGGGAAGCAGUUUGAAAUACCUAGAUUAUGUAUGGAUUCUGUUCAUCCAUGUUAGCAUUGAUUAUUGAGAGCUGAUUAAAUGUUAGGGAUGAUCAGGCCCAUCUCUAUUUUACAUGUGGAGAUACUGAGGCUCAGAGAAGUGAUGACUCUCCCAAGAUCAGACCAUCUAAAUUAAUGGCAAAGCUGGAAUGAAAACCUAAACCAACUUCAUUCCCUGUCCAGUCUUUACAGGAACCGGCAGCUUGCCCUUCUAAGCUUGAGAAGACAGAGUGGGUGAAGUACCUGUUGGUGUCGAACAUAACUGGUCAGAACGCCAAGCUGCUUCACAAGUAUUUAAGAAACAUAAAUCAGUAUUUGAUGCCUUCUUGUACUGAACAAGGUGGUGUGAAGUGGGAUCAGAAGACUUCCCCCUUAAGGAACUCACUAUCUAAUUCUGGAAUGACAGAAGACUUCAAUCAAGACGAGUAAUGAUUGUUCAAAUGUGGGCCUAAGAAUGAUCCAUGUAGGGAAGGCUGAGCUGCUCCUCGUCAGCCCAUUUAAAGUGUCCCCAGUGACGACGGCGCCUCCAUUUUUCCUCCAGGGAUGAUCCCACCAGC